rnacentral:rRNA from 1 species
GAUGAACGCUGGCGGCGUGCCUAAUACAUGCAAGUCGAGCGAACGGACGAGAAGCUUGCUUCUCUGAUGUUAGCGGCGGACGGGUGAGUAACACGUGGAUAACCUACCUAUAAGACUGGGAUAACUUCGGGAAACCGGAGCUAAUACCGGAUGAUAUUUUGAACCGCAUGGUUCAAAAGUGAAAGACGGUCUUGCUGUCACUUAUAGAUGGAUCCGCGCUGCAUUAGCUAGUUGGUAAGGUAACGGCUUACCAAGGCAACGAUGCAUAGCCGACCUGAGAGGGUGAUCGGCCACACUGGAACUGAGACACGGUCCAGACUCCUACGGGAGGCAGCAGUAGGGAAUCUUCCGCAAUGGGCGAAAGCCUGACGGAGCAACGCCGCGUGAGUGAUGAAGGUCUUCGGAUCGUAAAACUCUGUUAUUAGGGAAGAACAUAUGUGUAAGUAACUGUGCACAUCUUGACGGUACUUAAUCAGAAAGCCACGGCUAACUACGUG